ACUCAAAUGAAUUGACGGGGAGGCGCACAAGCAGUGGAGCGUGUGGUUUAAUUCGAUACAAAGCGAAAAACCUCACCAGGGUUUGACAUGUAAGUGCAAGCCCCUGGAAACAGGGGAAUCCUUCGAGGGUCUUACACAGAUGCUGCAUGGCUGUCGUCAGCUCGUGGCGUGAGCUGUACCGUUAAGUCGGGAAACGAGCGCAACCCGCACCGUAUGUUGAAUAAUUCAUGCGGAACUGCCUCUUUUUGAGGAGGAAGGCGCGGAUGACGUCAAGUCAGCACGGCUCUUACACCCUGGGCUACACACACCCUACAAUGGCGAAAAACAACGAGCUGCAAACUGGUAACAGUAAGCCAAUCUCUGAAAUUUCGCCUCAGUUCAGAUUGAGGGCUGCAAUUCGCCCUCAUGAAGUCGGAAUUGCUAGUAAUCGCGAAUCAGCAGGUCGCGGUGAAUACGUUCUCGCCUCUUGUACACACCGCCCGU
rnacentral:rRNA from 1 species